rnacentral:tRNA from 1 species
GGGCGUGUGGUCUAGUGGUAUGAUUCUCGCUUUGGGAAGUGCUUCCAGUACAAAUGGAAAGCACUAUUUUGAAUAUGCGAGAGGCCCUGAGUUCAAUUCCCAGCUCUCUCC